UCAUUUCGUUUCUCCCGAACGAAACACUGUUUUUGUAAACCCAAACCUCACCUUUUUGAAAAGAACUGUUUCCGAAAACUGUUUUUGUAAACUGUUUUUCGUUUCUCAGGAAUCGAAAUGAUAAUGAUGAUUUACCGAUGUGAGCCGGAGCUGGUUUGGUUCGGCACUGAUCACACCUAUAUAUGCCCACCUCUAGGGGGUCUAAAUCCUUUGUUGCUGUAUGAUAUUGAGUGCUGAGAUAUCCUGUUCCUGUUAGAAAUUCGGCUUCACAUAUCUGUAUGUUAUCCGAGCUUGUUACAAAGCACAUUUUGACAACUGUGUCCUGAUGAGAUUGCCAACAUCUGCUGAAUACUUCUAUGCCACGUACAAUGUAGAAAAUAAAGUUCAGGGUUGUGUAAAUAAAGAAAGUUUGUAAUGAUAACUCUGUAUAAUAAAAAAAUUAAAGUUUUGGGUGUUUGGGUGAAGACAAAAGCUCGAGGAUUUUCCGAGGUUCUCUUCCCUCUUGUGUGGGUUGCGAUGUGUUGUGUGUGUCUCUCUUCUCAUCUCUCAUUUGCUUUC